AUUGAAGAGGUGAAUACCUUUCUAAUAAAUUUUUUUGAUAUAUCUAGAAGAGAAUGAGAUUCUCUCGUAAUGGACACCUCUUGGAAGGAGAAAUCAAACUCUGUUAGCUAUGGUUCGACCUAUGAUGGGGUUUACAAGUCUGUCGAUCUCUUUGGGAUUAUGCUCUUGAGAUAAAUGCUAAGUUCUGAACAAUAUUUCGAGCAAAUCGAUUACAAAAACUCCAUAUGAGAUAUGGAUUGGAUGU
rnacentral:lncRNA from 1 species